AAGGGGGACGCCCAUGACUGGCGUCUUUUUUUUUUUUUUUUUUUUGCUUCGUCACGCCGGCAACUUCCGGUAGAGCGAGGGCUGCCGGUCAGAUGGAGGUUGAAGAAGUACUCACAUGUUCUAAAUGUCAGCCUACAUCUUUAGACUUGGAGGGCGGAAGAAAAGAUAAAACAUGGCGCUCUGAACUUCGUUAUGUUAUCCCAAACACGGGCAUCCAGCUUCUGGUAGCAUAUCAUUAUUUCUCUCUUGGCCUCUCUGAUGGAGAAGUGGCCAAGACAGGGAUUCUGCAUAUGGAGGCAGCUCCCGAAGCAAUUCACCAAUCUGAGUGUCUGGUUAGGACUGUAAUUUCAGAUGUAAAUAAUAACAAGUAAGUCUCUGGAUUUCAGGUGAGAACUGCACUCUUCGAAGAUGGCUUCUGUCUGUGGCUGUAGUUAGGAAGUUGGACACUUUUGAAUUGCAUCAAUUUUAUAUCCUUGGUAAAAUUUUCAUCUCUCAAUAUGCAUUCCUGUUUUAGCAGAAGAAAGCGAAGACCCAUCCAUAGCAGUCUUUUAGGAAGGUCAGAGGAAAUCGGCACAGCAAGAUGAAAAUUGCAAAAUUGACAUUGAGGAACAAGUGAUCGUGUUAAACAGCCUUAUCAUUAUUAAAUGGAAUAAAAAGUCAUUAAAUGCAUAUGAACCCAAAGCAAAAUUGAUCAGAAGAGUUAAUCACCCUCAUCAAGUUACAUUUCUGGAAGUGCCCUCUGGGUGUAAGUUAUCACUGCUUUUGGACACUAGCUGUUCAUCUCUUCAAGGGCAGCGCACUCAGAGCUUGGGAGCAGCCCUGGUCUUCGGUUGGGGCUCAGGAGGAGGACAGGGAGAAGGAUCCUUGGCCAUAUGGAUUCCAUUUUUGCUGCGCAAGACGUCAGUGGUUCCACUGACUCCAACCAAUUUGGACCCAUAGAUAUGUUAAAAAAUAAUCUGUAUUUAAA